CAACAGCGCCAGGCAGUGGCCAGGGGGCUUCGGCGCGUGCGGGCUGGAGAGGUCGGCGCGCAGCCAGACCCAGCUGAAGAGCUGCAGCGCGACUGAGGAGAGGCCCAACAGCGCCAGCACUAGCGCGGCCCACAGGCUCCUGGAGACCCAAAACGGCGAAUCUGGCCCGGAGAUUAGCGCCCGGGCUAGAACUGCGAUGUCUCACGUCUGCAUUGUUGCAAAACAAAACAACAGAACGCCAAGGCCCGUUCCGAUCCCUGACUGAGGGACUUUGCUAAGUUUGCCUCCGAGUCCGGGCCGUGUGCCAGGGGAGACAGAGGGCACUGGAUCAACCAGGCGCAUCUUCCUGGCAGCUCAUUUUACUCGGAUUAUCCGAAUAGGAGGAGGGGGAUUCAAUAACUGGGCAAGGGAGUUACUUUAAACAUGAUUUACAAAUUAAUAACA